UACGUAGGGUGCGAGCGUUAAUCGGAAUUACUGGGCGUAAAGCGUGCGCAGGCGGUUCUUUAAGACAGAUGUGAAAUCCCCGGGCUCAACCUGGGAACUGCAUUUGUGACUGUAGAGCUGGAGUACGGCAGAGGGGGAUGGAAUUCCGCGUGUAGCAGUGAAAUGCGUAGAUAUGCGGAGGAACACCGAUGGCGAAGGCAAUCCCCUGGGCCUGUACUGACGCUCAUGCACGAAAGCGUGGGGAGCAAACAGG
rnacentral:rRNA from 1 species